CCCUUAGUUAUCCUAGGUCGCACGCGCCAUACAAUGUGGCGCACAACGAGUCUCCUUGGCCGACAGGAUGUCCCGCGAGCGAUCGGCGACGCAGCCAGCUCGGUCUUCGGGCAGACUCGGUGAGAGUGGCCCGUCCUCCUGAGAGGGCGAUCGUCGAUGCCUCGGGAUUCUGGGCAAUCUGGCAGAGCGCUACGUGACUGGGCUAGACUUUUGUAAUUUUUGGUCUUGAACGAGGAAUGCCUAGUAAUCGCAGGUCAGCAUCCUGCGAUGAUUCGGUCCCUGCCCUUUGUACACACCGCCCGUCGCUCCAUCCGGGGCAUGCGCCGGUGAAGAGGGGGAGGCAGCGUCGGCCGUGUAACAGCGGAUCGUACGUGGAACCCCUCUGAACCUUCGCACGUAGAGGAAGGAGAAGUCGUAACA
rnacentral:rRNA from 1 species